rnacentral:rRNA from 1 species
ACGCCUACGGGACGCAGUAGUGGGGAAUAUUGCACAAUGGGGGAAACCCUGAUGCAGCGACGCCGCGUGAGUGAAGAAGUAUCUCGGUAUGUAAAGCUCUAUCAGCAGGAAAGAUAAUGACGGUACCUGACUAAGAAGCCCCGGCUAACUACGUGCCAGCAGCCGCGGUAAUACGUAGGGGGCAAGCGUUAUCCGGAUUUACUGGGUGUAAGGGGUGCGUAGACGGGAAUACAAGUUGGUUGUGAAAGCCCUCGGCUUAACUGAGGAACUGCAACCAAAACUAUAUUUCUUGAGUAUCGGAGAGG